rnacentral:rRNA from 1 species
GACGAACGCUGGCGGCGUGCUUAACACAUGCAAGUCGAACGGAAAGGCCCUGCUUGCAGGGUACUCGAGUGGCGAACGGGUGAGUAACACGUGGGUGAUCUGCCCUGCACUUCGGGAUAAGCUUGGGAAACUGGGUCUAAUACCGGAUAGGAGCCAUCUUUAGUGUGGUGGUUGGAAAGUUUUUUCGGUGUAGGAUGAGCUCGCGGCCUAUCAGCUUGUUGGUGGGGUAAUGGCCUACCAAGGCGGCGACGGGUAGCCGGCCUGAGAGGGUGUACGGCCACAUUGGGACUGAGAUACGGCCCAGACUCCUACGGGAGGCAGCAGUGGGGAAUAUUGCACAAUGGGCGCAAGCCUGAUGCAGCGACGCCGCGUGGGGGAUGAAGGCCCUCGGGUUGUAAACUCCUUUCGCUAGGGACGAAGCUUUUUUGUGACGGUACCUAGAUAAGAAGCACCGGCUAACUACGUG